ensembl:lncRNA
GAGCAAGGGGGAGACACGCUCGCCGGCCUGGGGGAACCCUCGGCUGGAAUCUGGGAGCUGCCUUUCUGCGAAACCCCCCACAGCACCAUCUGGGUUUCCGUGUUCUGAUCACAUUGGCGUUCGCUGCUGCUAAGUCACUUCAGUCGUGUCCGACUCUGUGCGACCCCAUAGACGGCAGCCCACCAGGCUCCCCGUCCCUGGGAUUCUCCCGGCAAGAAUACAUUGGCGUUCGAGGAACCAUCAAAGGAGGUGGGGGUCAGCGGCUGGAAGGUGCUGCUUGGGUUGGGUGAUCGUGAACUGUGAGAUUGCAGACAAAGACGCCAGGAAAACAGGAGGACAUGGAGUGGGGCGAGAUGUGUGAAAUUUAUUUUAUGAAGACGAGGCACCGUGGAGGACUAAUUGAUGAUGGGCCGUAGGAGGCGGUGGCUGACCUGUGCAGGGGAGAAGAAGAAGCAGAUUUUUUCUGAUGGCUUGUCGCGUACGUCUCAGCCUUUCGAACAAAAGCUCAGAUAAACGGUGACUUGCACCGGGAGGCCACAUUGCCUGCAGCCGGCGCACAGCGAAACCCAAAUAUCCACGGAAUUGGAGGGAAUGGCAUUUGGUUUCCCGGACAAAUGCUCAUGUCACUGGAAGGUCCAUGGCUUUUGCUGAAAAUUAAGGGGUCACAAUAUGUCUAGCAGUCUUUGAUUAUUUUUUUAACUUAAAAAAAAAGUAACUUUUAUUUCUUUUUGGCCGUGGUGGGUCUUCAUUGCUGCGUGCAGGCUUUCUCGAGUGGUGGCGAGCAGGGGUUACUUCCUAAUUGGGGUACACGGACUUCUCAUUGCGAUGGCAUCUCUUGUGGCUCCUGGGUUCUAGACCUCAGGCUCAGUAGUUGUGGAACACGGGCUUAGUUUCCCCAAGGCCUGUGGGGUCUUCCCAGACCAGGAAUGGAACCUGUGUCUCCUGCAUUGCAACGGAGAUUCUUAACUGCUGGACCACCAGGCAAGCCCUGUUAAUUCACUUUUAGCUACUCACUGAAAU